rnacentral:rRNA from 1 species
GAUGAACGCUGGCGGCGUGCCUAAUACAUGCAAGUCGAGCGAACAGAUGAGGAGCUUGCUCCUUUGACGUUAGCGGCGGACGGGUGAGUAACACGUGGGUAACCUACCUAUAAGACUGGGAUAACUUCGGGAAACCGGAGCUAAUACCGGAUAAUAUUUUGAACCGCAUGGUUCUAAAGUGAAAGAUGGUUUUGCUGUCACUUAUAGAUGGACCCGCGCUGCAUUAGCUAGUUGGUAAGGUAACGGCUUACCAAGGCAACGAUGCAUAGCCGACCUGAGAGGGUGAUCGGCCACACUGGAACUGAGACACGGUCCAGACUCCUACGGGAGGCAGCAGUAGGGAAUCUUCCGCAAUGGGCGAAAGCCUGACGGAGCAACGCCGCGUGAGUGAUGAAGGGUUUCGGAUCGUAAAACUCUGUUAUUAGGGAAGAACAAAUGUGUAAGUAACUGUGCACGUCUUGACGGUACCUAAUCAGAAAGCCACGGCUAACUACGUG